GACGAACCGUCCAAACGUUAUUCGGAAUUAUUGGGCGUAAAGCGCGCGUAGGCGGCUCGGAAAGUCGGUCGUGAAAGGCUGGGGCUCAACCCCAGGACUGCGUCCGAUACUUCCGAGCUGGAGGCAGGUAGGGGAGAUCGGAAUUCCUGGUGUAGCGGUGAAAUGCGCAGAUAUCAGGAGGAACACCGGUGGCGAAGGCGGAUCUCUGGGCCUUGCCUGACGCUGAGGCGCGAAAGCUAGGGGAGCGAACAGG
rnacentral:rRNA from 1 species